CUGUCGGUGUAGAAUUUAUUUUAAGCAAUUGUCAAAAAAGACAUACAUCAUUUUUUGACAUAAUCACUCGAUUUCUGUAUACACUUUGUCCAUUUGCCGAAGGACCUUUAUAUUUUCUCAUUAAAAAAUGUUUUGGGCUGAGCUGCGAACCACGAAUGCAUCGUCGUCUUCACCUUUUCAUCAGCUUUUUCGGCAUCCAUCUCGCACAAACUUUUUAAAAUCCAAAUCUGUCGUGUACUAUUGCAUAAGCAGAGCCGUGGCUGAUUUGCAAAUGAUUUGCCACAUUAUCCACUGUCACUCGUCUAUUCCAUAGAGCAUAAGUUCAUGAGCACGUUCAAUGUUGUCAUCGUGGAUGUGGACGGGCGUCCAGCUGUUUUUUCAUAACACUUGUGCGAUCUUCUUUGAACUUUUGUGCCCAUUCAAACACACUUCGUGACAAAACACUUUCUCCAUAAUGUGCAUUAAAUCUUUGAUAAAUAUAGGCAUCAAACAUAACCUCCGACCACAAGAAACGAAUCACAGCAUCCUGCACUGUUUUCCUGCAAAUCACCAUUGCAAAGCGCCAUUACUCGCGCAACGGUCACAAACGAAUUGACGUAACACAAAGAAACCUGCGCAGCAGCACUGAACAGAUAUUGACGUCAUACGAAGAGUGCAGAUGGAUCAAUACGGUCGACAGAAGUUUUAACUAUCUGGAGUGCGGAUAAAUUUUUACUGAGAGUCGUAUAGGAAUCUAUAAUCUAGUACUUUCCAAAAUACGCCGAGAGUAUUCCUGAUGGUGAAACGAGCGUUGCUUCAUCGAACGCAGCUAAAGAAAACAACAUCUAUGUAGUUGGUGGUACGAUGCCUGAAAUAGAGGGCGAUAAAUUGUACAAUACCUGUACUAUUUGGGGUCCCGAUGGAACUUUGAUAGCAAAACACCGAAAGGUACAUCUAUUCGACAUCGACAUUCCUAAUAAGAUUACUUUUCGAGAGAGUGAUUCACUCAGUCCUGGUAACUCCCUAACGACGUUCGAUGUGAAGGGCUGCAAAAUAGGUAUUGGCAUUUGCUAUGAUAUUAGAUUCGAGGAAAUGGCACGCAUUUAUCGGAACAAAGGUUGCCAAAUGCUGAUAUAUCCAGCGGCAUUCAAUAUGACCACUGGACCACUGCACUGGUCAUUACUUCAGCGUUUCAGAGCGAAUGAUAAUCAAUUAUACGUUGCCUGCAUAUCACCGGCUCGUGUUCCUUAAGCAAGUUACGUCGCAUGGGGACAUACACAGUUGACCAAUCCCUGGGGAAAGAUUCUUUACGAUUUGGAAACUCAAGAGAAUAUGGCAGUCACCGAUAUCAAAAAAAAAAAAAAAAAAAAAAAAAAAAAAAAAAAAAAAAAAAAAACUGGCGAACCGUGUGUUACCACAACGAGACACGCGAUGCUAUUUGUCGCUUUAAAUUGUGCCGCAACUCGUUUUUGAGAUCUUUGCCAGGGGCGCGUUAAAAGAUGCUGAAAAUAUAUUUCUGGCUUUUCUGGGGUUUAACUGAAAUAUGACAAAUAACGUUGUAAAACAUAUGUACUUAUGACUUACAGAGUAAUUGAGUGUACAAAAUAUAUAGUAUACAAAAUAGCCAGCGAUUUAGGGCUUUAAAAGAUCAAAAGGAAAGAAAAGGAAAGAAAAGAAGAAAGAUAAUAUAUUGUGGCAGUCUAAGUCGAUCUAAGAAAAUAGAUAAAGGGAGGGAGGGGCAAAGCUAGUUAAUCUGGAAAGAAUCCAAGCGUCAAUUUCAAGCAUUUACAGAGAAUCAAGCGGGCUGGUUAAAGUCGUGAGUUGAGCAAUUAUCCCGCGUUAGGUUCAAUCAGAUACUUCUGGCUAGUGCAGUACCUACACGGUGGUUGUUGAAAUAGCCGCUUCUCAUCUAUUUUCCCUAGCGCGGACAUCAUCCUUUGAUCCCUUACGACUAACGAAGUUUUCUAAGAUGUACGGCAGUUUGAGAUUCUACUUGAAAAUGAUCAUGAUUGCGGUCUGUGUGUCGUCUGCUCUUCUUUUUGUCCUUCCGUUAAAGACUGGUAAGUUGAUACUGAUUAAUUAUGCGAUCGAAACCCUAUAUAAUGGCUACAAAAAUGCCGCUAAUAUAAUAUUCCUUCUUUCUUGUAUC